GCAGGAGUAGCGAAGUGGUCAAACGCGCCAGGUUUAGGACCUGGUGGCCUAGCGCCUUCGGAGGUUCGAAUCCUCCCUCCUGCA
rnacentral:tRNA from 1 species